rnacentral:rRNA from 1 species
GAUGAACGCUAGCGGAAGGCUUAAUACAUGCAAGUCGAGCGGUAGUCCCUUUCGGGGGAUGAGAGCGGCGCACGGGUGAGUAACGCGUACAUGACCUGCCUAUCAGAAGGGGAUAGCCCUGGGAAACUGGGAUUAAUACCCUAUGGCAUUGUAUUUUUAAAUGGAUACAAUUAAAGCUGAGGCGCUGAUAGAUGGAUGUGCGUCUGAUUAGCUAGUUGGUGGGGUAAAGGCCCACCAAGGCGACGAUCAGUAGGGGGCGUGAGAGCGUGGUCCCCCACACGGGUACUGAGACACGGACCCGACUGCUACGGGAAGAAGCAGUAAGGAAUAUUGGUCAAUGCCCGCAAGGGUGAACCAGCCAUUCCGCGUGGAGGAUGAAGGCCCUAUGGGUUGUAAACUUCUUUUAGAUGGGAAGAAAAUGCUUUGUUUACAAGGUACUGACGGUACCAUCAGAAUAAGCACCGGCUAACUCCGUGCCAGCCGCCGCCGUAA